GGUUGUAUGGAGUAGCUGGUUAACUUAGGAGAUUCUGAUUGCUCGGGCCUCCUGGCCCUUCGAUACGAUUCGACUUCUCUUGCCCUGGGUUCGAGUCCCAGUACGACCU
rnacentral:tRNA from 1 species